UUGCUUCCGCACGCAGCACAUACACUAACACUGCAACAGUACACAGAGGCUUAACAGGGCCCCUGAGCAAGGAUGACAUGACAAUUUCUGAAGGAGUCCAUAUGAAA
ensembl:snRNA LOC120095373 U6 spliceosomal RNA